UACGUAGGUGGCAAGCGUUGUCCGGAUUUACUGGGCGUAAAGAGCGCGCAGGCGGUCGUUCAAGUCGCGUGUGAAAGCCCCCGGCUCAACUGGGGAGGGUCACGCGAUACUGAUCGACUCGAAGGCAGGAGAGGGAAGUGGAAUUCCCGGUGUAGUGGUGAAAUGCGUAGAUAUCGGGAGGAACACCAGUGGCGAAGGCGGUUCUCUGGGCCUUACCUGACGCUGAGGAGCGAAAGCGUGGGGAGCGAACAGG
rnacentral:rRNA from 1 species